UACGUAGGGUGCAAGCGUUGUUCGGAUUUACUGGGCGUAAAGGGCGCGUAGGCGGCGCAACAAGUCACUUGUGAAAUCUCCGGGCUUAACCCGGAGCGGCCAAGUGAUACUGUCGUGCUAGAGUGCGGAAGGGGCUACUGGAAUUCUCGGUGUAGCGGUGAAAUGCGUAGAUAUCGAGAGGAACACCUGCGGCGAAGGCGGGUAGCUGGGCCGACACUGACGCUGAGGCGCGAAAGCGUGGGGAGCAAACAGG
rnacentral:rRNA from 1 species